AUUAACCAUUCUUAAAACCCAUUUCUGUUUGCAGAGUGCUGGUGGACUGGGCACUGGAAGUGAUAUUGGGCUGAUUGCGAGGUUCUGCUGUGGGCCCUUUCUUGGUCCAUAUUUCCUCACACGACCCAUUAUGCUGUGGGCCCUUUUUAGGUGGAUUUCAGUUUGUAGUUAGUGGAUUAUUAAUCAUCUUGUGUGGUAAAGAUGAUGCUUGUGCAAGUUUUCUUUAACAUAUUCAAGAUCUUUAUGAGGUUGAUGUUGCCACAUCAACUCUCUGCUUCAUUUGCUACUAUGAUGAUGGUUUUAUUUGCAUCUGAUUCUGUCUGUUUCUUUUACCAGUAUGUGAAUGUUUUAGUUGCAGCUGCGAAUCCAUGACAAAUGGCGGAAUAUGGGUAUUAGUACUGCUGCACACAGUUCUAAAGAAAAAAUACGAAUUCCUAGAGUAAAAGCUAUUACCGCUGGCCCACUCACCAAUGGUCAAAAUUCUGCUUCUGCUUCACUUAUUGAUGAUGACAAGGAUGGGAAAACUGCUCCACGGUGCGCUUUUCUUUUGGUUCUCUUUUGUGAAUAUAGAAUUAAUCUCAUGGCGUUGCUCUGAUUGGUGAGAGAA